rnacentral:misc_RNA from 1 species
GCAAACUUGGUCAUUUAGAGGAAGUAAAAGUCGUAACAAGGUUUCCGUAGGUGAACCUGCGGAAGGAUCAUUAAUGAAAGCUUCGGCUUCUUUGAUGCCUUUAUCCUUAUGUUGACCUAUUUUUUUUGUUGCUUCCACCAAAGGUUUCUUUGGGCUGUUGGUGGAUGGCUUAUAAAUAAUCUCUUAUUGUAAUAACUUAUGGCCUAUGUCUGAAUCCCAGAUAUAUUAAAUAUCAUUAAAACUUUCAACAACGGAUCUCUUGGCUCCUGCAUCGAUGAAGAACGCAGC